rnacentral:rRNA from 1 species
UACGUAGGGCGCAAGCGUUGUCCGGAAUUAUUGGGCGUAAAGAGCUCGUAGGCGGUCUGUCGCGUCUGUUGUGAAAACUCGAGGCUCAACCUCGGGCUUGCAGUGGAUACGGGCAGACUAGAGUGCGGUAGGGGAGACUGGAAUUCCUGGUGUAGCGGUGGAAUGCGCAGAUAUCAGGUGGAACACCGAUGGCGAAGGCAGGUCUCUGGGCCGCAACUGACGCUGAGGAGCGAAAGCAUGGGGAGCGAACAGG